AUUGAACGCUGGCGGCAUGCCUUACACAUGCAAGUCGAACGGUAACAGGUCUUCGGAUGCUGACGAGUGGCGAACGGGUGAGUAAUACAUCGGAACGUGCCCGAUCGUGGGGGAUAACGGAGCGAAAGCUUUGCUAAUACCGCAUACGAUCUACGGAUGAAAGCAGGGGACCGCAAGGCCUUGCGCGGACGGAGCGGCCGAUGGCAGAUUAGGUAGUUGGUGGGAUAAAAGCUUACCAAGCCGACGAUCUGUAGCUGGUCUGAGAGGACGACCAGCGACACUGGGACGGAGACACGGCCCAGACUCCUACGGGAGGCAGCAGUGGGGAAUUUUGGACAAUGGGCGCAAGCCUGAUCCAGCCAUGCCGCGUGCAGGAUGAAGGCCUUCGGGUUGUAAACUGCUUUUGUACGGAACGAAACGGCUCUUUCUAAUAAAGAGGGCUAAUGACGGUACCGUAAGAAUAAGCACCGGCUAACUACGUGCCAGCCGCCGCCGUAAAAC
rnacentral:rRNA from 1 species